GGCUCAUAUCAAGGUACUGCUUGAGCAAUACAGAAAGUUGCAUCCCGACAUGAAUCUGGUGAAAGACCGCAUGAUGAAAACCUUUGCAUGGAGACGCCGAGAAAUAGCAGAAGGAAUGUCAACUGAAGAUCUGUUGAGGAGAUAUCCAUUCCUAAGAACAUCCGCUGGGGUAAGAACAAUUAAGCUGCUGCCAACUUCAGCCACAUUGUGCGAUGAGGUUGAUGCCAUGCACCCCUCUCCAGUCAACAUAUGCCACCGCAUCAGUGAGAACUUCACAUCUAUUCUCCCAAAUAUGCUGAAACUUGUCAAGGAUUCGCCACUGAAAAAACUAUACAUGGAAGCAAGAGCGGAUGCCUUGGCUGAGGAUAUUAAAGGAAUUGACUUCAGGGGUGGACUCCUCCUCUUGCCAUCCAUAUUCAAGGAGAAGAUUGAGGAUUUCAUUAUGCUUGGACAGAAAAAUCCUCAAACUCCAUAUCCAACCGUUCAACUGAAAGCACAAGGGUUGAAAUUUGCCCUCUCCAGACAGUGCCAGAGUGUGGUCAAUGUCGAGGGAAUUGAGGUCUGUUCUUGCACUUCGGUGGAUGAGGCCUUCAUUGCAGCCUUCUGCAUGUACUUUGUCUUCAACAUGGCAUAUCCUGGAUACUUGAAAAAGACACUGACCUUUCUCCAGAGGCUCAUCGCAAACAUCACGGGGGAUGGAGACAAAUCCCUGCCGGUAACUGUAACUCGAAUUGUCAACCUUCUUCGCUGAUCAUGCCUGGACUGCAUCAGUGUACAAAAUCCUCAAAGAGGACCUUUACUCUUAGAAAACUGAUUCAUCACAUUGGACUUGUACAUGCACACAACCCUCAUUUCAACAUAACCUGUGGGUUGAGUAACUGCCAGUAUGCUUUUUCCAGUAUUCUUUUAGGCGGCAUGUUUUUCGAAAAUUCUUGAAAAUUAAGUACAUUCUGAACGUUGAGACUUUUGGGUGUGCUUGGGUCCUUGCUCUUAUGACAAUCACUUCCAUACUUACCACGUCAAAGUUGACAAUGACUGAUUUUACUCAGUCCAGGAAGUGUAUUGGACUAUCAAGCUCUCGACACAUAUUUAGUCGAUGAUAGACUGUAUGUUUCCUUGAGGUAUUCUGUGUAAGUAUGUUCUAUCUAAAUGUGUGUUACUUUUUGAAGUAUUCUGCCUCAUGUUAAUGUGACUGCAAUCUUUACAUAUUGUAAUGUUAUGCAUUGACAUUGAUUGAUUUUAUAUGUAGCUAUAUAGAAUUGAAUGAAUUAAGAUGUUUACACUAUAAAUGCUGCCAUGUUUAUCUCAAAACAUACAUUUUCAUUGAUGUUAAUAAAUGGUAAAGAAGCAAUUAUUGUCUGGUACAUUUUUGUCUCCUUAAAGUCCCAAAUAUCUUGUCACUGGGGGGUACCCUUUUAAAGUACAGGAAAGUACCCUUUCAAUGAGGUACAUUGCUAUACCUUAUAGAUUAAAGGUACAUUUAUGUCUUGCAGGGUACACAACUGUACUUGAACUGGUACAAUUUGAUAAGGUACAUAAAUGGACCAGGACUGAAAGGUACACAAUUGUCUCUCAAAAGGGUACCUCCCCUGCGACAAGCAUUUGUACCGAUUUAGGUACAAACUGGUACCUCUAUUUUUGAGUGUGUA
ensembl:lncRNA